rnacentral:rRNA from 1 species
GACGAACGCUGGCGGCGUGCUUAACACAUGCAAGUCGAACGGAAAGGCCCUGCUUUUGUGGGGUGCUCGAGUGGCGAACGGGUGAGUAACACGUGAGUAACCUGCCCUUGACUUUGGGAUAACUUCAGGAAACUGGGGCUAAUACCGGAUAGGAGCUCCUGCUGCAUGGUGGGGGUUGGAAAGUUUCGGCGGUUGGGGAUGGACUCGCGGCUUAUCAGCUUGUUGGUGGGGUAGUGGCUUACCAAGGCUUUGACGGGUAGCCGGCCUGAGAGGGUGACCGGCCACAUUGGGACUGAGAUACGGCGCAGACGCCUACGGGAGGCAGCAGGGGGGAAUAUGGCGCAGUGGGCGGAAGCCUGAUGCAGCAGCGCCGCGAGCGGGAUGACGGCCUUCGGGUUGUAAACCGCUUUCGCCUGUGACGAAGCGUGAGUGACGGUAAUGGGUAAAGAAGCACCGGCUAACUACGUG